rnacentral:rRNA from 1 species
GAUGAACGCUAGCGGGAGGCUUAACACAUGCAAGUCGAACGGUAACAGGCCCUUCGGGGCGCUGACGAGUGGCGCACGGGUGCGUAACGCGUAUGCAACCUGCCUUAUGCAGGGGGAUAGCCCAUGGAAACGUGGAUUAAUACCCCAUAGUAUCAAUGAUUCGCAUGGAUUAUUGAUUAAAACUUCGGUGGCAUAAGAUGGGCAUGCGUAGGAUUAGCUGGUUGGUGAGGUAACGGCUCACCAAGGCAACGAUCCUUAGGGGUUCUGAGAGGAUUACCCCCCACACUGGGACUGAGACACGGCCCAGACUCCUACGGGAGGCAGCAGUGAGGAAUAUUGGUCAAUGGGCGCGAGCCUGAACCAGCCAUCCCGCGUGCAGGAUGACGGCCCUACGGGUUGUAAACUGCUUUUCUAUGCCAAGAAACCCACCUACGUGUAGGUGGUUGCCGGUAGCAUAGGAAUAAGCAUCGGCUAACUCCGUGCCAGCAGCCGCGGUAAUACGGAGGAUGCAAGCGUUAUCCGGAUUCAUUGGGUUUAAAGGGUGCGCAGGUGGGCUUGUAAGUCAGUGGUGAAAUACUGCCGCUUAACGGUAGAAUUGCCAUUGAUACUGCAG